rnacentral:lncRNA from 1 species
GAAAAUAGAUUUAUAUAGGAGUCCAUACAUACAACAAAUGACCCAGUCGCCUACAUCAAACUACGAAAUUUGUGUUCAAGCACCAGGUGCAUAUAACUGCAGGCAGUGCCAACAAUAUUGCCGACAAUAUUUCUAUUUCAACAUUUUAAAAAUGCACAUCUGAGGUUAAAUAUUUCAAAAACACAUACAUUACUUAAAAGCAGAGAACCGUUCAAGUAAAGACAAGGUAAUUUGUGAACAUACAGAAAAACACACAUUUUUGUGUGUGGAUUGUAAUGUUCCUUUAGGUAAAGUUUGUCUUGUCAACGACCAUAAUGGACAUAUAAUGAAGGAUCUGGAUAAAGAGAGAAAGUGAAAAUGUUGAGAAAGAGAUGUCGAAUCAAGGUGAAAUACUAAAGUCGGAAAUUGAUAAGAAUGUUGCAACAAUGAUAACA